GACGAACGCUGGCGGCGUGCUUAACACAUGCAAGUCGAACGGUGAAGCGCCUUCCUUUUUGGUGGGUGUGGAUGAGUGGCGAACGGGUGAGUAACACGUGAGUAACCUGCCCCCUUCUUCUGGAUAACCGCAUGAAAGUGUGGCUAAUACGGGAUAUUCUGGGUCUGUCGCAUGAUGGGUCUGGGAAAGAUAUUGUUUCGGUGGGGGAUGGGCUCGCGGCCUAUCAGCUUGUUGGUGGGGUGAUGGCCUACCAAGGCGGUGACGGGUAGCCGGCCUGGGAGGGUGGACGGUCACACUGGGGAUGAGGCACGGCCCAGACUCCUACGGGAGGCAGCAGUGGGGAAUAUUGCACAAUGGGCGCAAGCCUGAUGCAGCGACGCCGCGUGAGGGAUGGAGGCCUUCGGGUUGUGAACCUCUUUCGCCAGUGAAGCAGGCCUGCCUCGUCUGUGGGUGGGUUGACGGUAGCUGGAUAAGAAGCGCCGGCUAACUACGUG
rnacentral:rRNA from 1 species